UGAAGGCCCAGUUCAGGACGUCCAGCUCCUACACGGCCGGGGGGGUGCACCGGGAGGGCUGGGCGGGGCCCGCAGAGGAGGAGGGCGGCAGGGCCGUUUCGGACGAGCUGCGGGGCUGGUUCCAGCGCUCCUCCGGGUCCUUGAGGGAGCACAGGCCGUCCCACGCCGGCUCCAACUCAGCUGCCUUGCCCCACAGCCAGAGGGGCACGACUCCCUCCACUGAAGCCGCUGCCAGUCCCUGCAGCAGCCCCCAGCACACACUGAGCUGGCAGAGCAGAGAUGCAGCUGAAAGCUCUCCUUUCGAGGAUCGGCCUCGAUCUCCAGCUCGCCAGAGUAACUGACGAACAGAGCUCUUUCAGUGACAGCUGUUUCCUGGACAGCCCGCUGUACUCAGAGUUAGCGGACACGCAGUGGUACGGACGAGAAAAGGCCAAGCCGGGGACGCUGGUCUGACCCUCUCCCUGCCCUCCUCCUCCUCCUCCUCUUCCUCCUCCAGCGAGGCUGAAGUGCUCCUGAUGAGCUCUGCGUGAGGAGCAAUAUUCCGCCAGCUACAUUCGGCAGUGCAGGGGGGCCCCAGGAAGCCGGGACCACCCGGGGCCCCUGGGGCAGGACACCCAAAGGGCCCUGGCGCCUGAACCCGGAGCUCUCCACCGGCCAACGGAGCGCAGCGCUCUCUGGCGCUAACGCUAACGCUAACGGCAACACUCUCGCCCCCCUUCCCACAAUGCAACAGGAGCACGCUGAAGAGCGAGCGCCUUGGCUUCUCGGCCCCCUGCACAGGGUGACGCACCGCCAGGCCGCUUCUCAACGGUUCUUGUCGAGACGUAUUUUUUUUGUCUGUCCGUUGAAUUGUUUGUUACAUUGUUCCAAAACACCGAGGGCUGACCUUCUCUCAGCUUUUUAAAAAGAUAAUACAAAAUCUCAGAAUUCUUUUUGGAGGACAUGUAUCCCUCCCAGGACACGAAGGACUCCUUCCCACCCCUAACCUCCAUCGGCCCACACCGCCACCAAAGAUCCCGUCGACAACUCGGAUCGUUCCAGAAGUUUCCCUCUCCAGCCUCCUCCAGCACAGUGUCCCUCCACAGCGAGGUCUUGACUGCCCGCAAUCCCGCCACUCAGAGCAGCCCCCCCUGCCCCUGCCAUGCCACUACUGUAAGCCCUCCAGCCAUGCCCGGUCUUCCUGUCACUCAAUCGCUGUGGCCCUGCCUCCACCGUGGCUCACAGUUGCAUCGAAACAGGAUUCUCAUAUCAUCUGUCCUGGAGUGUGGACAGGGCUUGUGUGCAUCUGAGGUCUCCAUGAGGCCUGAGGUCCCCAUGAGGCCUGAGGUCUCCAUUAGGCCUGAGGUCCCCAUGAGGCCUGAGGUCUCCAUUAGGCCUGAGGUCCCCAUGAGGCCUGAGGUCUCCAUAAGGCCUGAGGUCCCCAUUAGGCCUGAGGUCUCCAUAAGGCCUGAGGUCUCCAUUAGGCCUGAGGUCCCCAUGAGGCCUGAGGGAUCCUCCUGCACUUUCCUUUCAGGAAAUAUUCUCAAUCUGACCUUCACCAGUCUACAUUUACUGGUUCAUUUUGAUUUGUGGUGGGCAAGAGCUGCUCAACACACCUGAUUGGCCUUGCAAAUAUUGGCCUCUAUCCUCAGGCUGAUAUUGGUGAGUGGCUAACGCAGCAUAGCAGCUGUAGAAGCACAUUCCCGCGGCGACGCUGUCCAGUUCUAACACCUGUACUGUAAUGGGCCGGAACACAGCUACUUAACACGCCAACGCUGCUGAACAUCCACACACAGAGUGUCGUAUUACACCUGACUUAAGCCAAGAGCCACUACCAUUCUGAAACUCCGGACUCGCGGCGUGAAUCAACUCUCUCUUAUUUUAAAAAGGCUCUGUCCAUCAUUGGAGAUGGGCGGAUCUGUUGUUUCAGUAUCAGUAUGGGGUUGUGACACCAGGAGUCUAACUCUGUGGGCUCUGUGCCCGGGCUAACGGGCUGCCGGUGGCGUACGUCAGGUGGAGUGACCGUGCUGCUGCGCGUCAGGGUGUGCGUGUGGCGUGUUGUCCUAUGCGAGGCUGUGAGGCAGUCCCGGCUGCACUGGGUGACUUCGGCGAAGGGACCGUGUUCAAGUCUCCGUCGGCUAUUAACUGAGAGAGUCUGUGGUCUGAAAAUCAGCAAAACAAGCCAUACAGUACGAGUGAGCAGAAAUGCUUUUUCUCUUUUGCUUUUUUUUUUUUUGUAGCACACACACACACGCACACACACACACACACACACACACACAUUAAUAAACAGGUCUUUAAAAGCACAUUAACCCGAGCACCGUUAGCUGCAGUGGAUGUUCUCAUGACACAAACAGGAUUCCGCAGGAGGAGACAGGUGUCGAUGGAUUGACUGUGACAUUGGCCUGACUGUUUGGCUGGGCUGAGGUUUCGUAAAAACCAGCAGGUCCCCCAAACGCACCCCAGACCUCUCCCUCUCUCUUUCUCUCCCCCUCUCCCUCUCUGACUCUCUCUCUUCCUCUUUAUCAGUAAGAGUGUACCCUUCCCUUACCCUGCCCAAGGGCGAUAAAGCAGACGCCAGCACUCGGGCAUUUCGACAAGCGUUACUAUGGCGAUAAGGAACACGGCGUGGAGAUGACAGGAAGACGUGCGAGGACCCUCUGACCGCCGCUUUUAGCGUCCCCGUCAUGGAAAUAACGCUUCUUAAUAAUUUGAUAUCUUUAGGGAUCGUGAGGAAUACUGAGUAAUAACCCGGCCAAAUAAACGGGUCGGUUUCACUGAGAAUGACGUUCGACCCGCCUCCCUGGUUUCUCGCCGAGCAUGUUAACGAAGCUAAAUCUUACAUUGUGGAUCCCGGAAUGCAAACCGAAAAAAGUGGUAAAACACCUGUUCGGAACUCGCCUUUGUUUGAAAUCUGUUGCGUCUGCCUCUGACCCUGUGGUAAUCUCCGAACCAAUGUGACUGUGUGUUUUACCCUCGAUUUGGCAACGGUAGCACCGUUGCGGUCUUUAUUUGUUGUAAAAACUACAAAUUUUUAUAGAGAAAAUAAAUAACAAACUAACCCCAUUUAUAAAUAUUUGCAGCGAUGGUGGGCAGCGUGUUUAUAUAUUGAAAAAAAAAAAAACCAUUGUUUUGAUGAUGUGCAGAGUUAUUUUUUGAUAAAUCAGUAUUAGACUUUAGUUUGGACGUAGUAACAACCCUUUCAGGUGCUACACGAUGACCAGUUACUGCUGCAUUACCUAGGUGUAGAAUUUUACUUAUUGUCGGCCAUAGUUUUAAUUCCACUUGCGCGAAAUGAAGGACGUUAGUUUCCAACUGAAACUAUCGUGGUCAGUCUCGAGUCUCCGACCUUUUGACAGCAUGUAACAUGAUUUUAUUGGGCUCUGUUCAACCAUAACCAGACAAAAAAAUAUUCUGUUUUAGAAAUGAAUGUGGAAUUAUAUGAAAACAGAGAAUUCCACUGUUAAUUUAUUCUUUUUUUUAAGAAUUUGUAUAGUAACUUUGCAUUUUUAAAAACCGUGUUGUUGGCAACUGAUGAUUUUUUUCCAGAUGAGAAAACUUGGUGGUUCUUGAGAUUAAGAAAAUAAAUUAUUGCUGAAUGUUCUCAAAA